AUGUUCUUAUAUGCAUGUUGUAAUGAGAUGAUGAUAUUCAUAAACAUUUCAUUGCUAUGCAAAUCUUUGAGUGUUUUACCUGUGUGUUCAGGUCCUCCAGGGCUGUCAGUGGACAAACAGGAGGUGACGGGUGUGGAUGGAGACAGUGUCAGUGUUACUAUGGAAACAACAAAAGACAUAGGAUGUGGUGUAAGAUUGGGGGUUCCUGUGCAUCAGAGAGAUCAGCGAGAUUGGAUGGGAGGCCUGUCCUGAUCAGGGAUGAAACAGAAAAUAAAACCUUCAUUGUGACAAUGAGUGGGCUGGAGAGGAAGGACACUGGCUGGUAUUGGUGUGCUGCUGGAAACCUGCAGAUUCCAGUUCAUAUAACUGUCAAACAAGGAGGGGAUAAUGAAAAACUGAGGUGGGAGCAGGUUCUGGAUGCUGUACUGAAAGCUGGGACUGGUGUGUUUUAUCUGAUUUGCACCAUCAUCACCAAUCAGCUGCACUGGACCUCCUGUAGAAAGCGGGAACCAAUCAGAGAGAAGCAGAGGGUCUCCCUGUGUUAGAGGAAGCUGGCAGAGGAGAUGACCUUCGUGGAGCAGAAUGAGUCAGACGA